UGCCUUAGUAACGGCGAGUGAAGCGGCAACAGCUCAAAUUUGAAAUCGGGCGCAAGUCUGAAUUGUAGUUUGUAGGUGGAUGGUUCGAGUGCGUUCCCGUCGAAAGUCCCCUGGAACAGGGCGUCGCAGAGGGUGAGAAUCCCGUUCGCGACGGGGCGAUGUGCUCGUGUGAGCCUCCAUUGACGAGUCGAGUUGUUUGGGAAUGCAGCUCUAAAGGGGAGGUAAAUUCCUUCUAAAGCUAAAUACUGGCCAGAGACCGAUAGCGAACAAGUAGAGUGAUCGAAAGAUGAAAAGCACUUUGGAAAGAGAGUUAAACAGCACGUGAAAUUGUUGAAAGGGAAGCGCUCACGACCAGACUCGGGUAUGGUUGCUCAGGCCAUCUAUUGGUGGUUGUAUCGGCCGUACCCGGGCCAGCAUCGGUUCUGGCGGCGGGAGAAAAGCGGCGGGAACGUGGCUCCCUUGGGAGUGUUAUAGCCCGCCGUGCAAUGCCGCCAGUCGGGACCGAGGACCGCGUUCGCUAGGAUGCUGGCGUAAUGGUUGUUAGCGGCCCGUCUUGAAACACGGACCAAGGAGUCUACCAUCUACGCGAGUGCUCGGCUGUCAAGGCCUUGCGCGUAAUGAAAGUGAACGGAGGUGGGAACAGUAAUGUGCACCAUCGACCGAUCCUGAUGUCUUCGGACGGAUUUGAGUAGGAGCGUAGCUGGUGGGACCCGAAAGAUGGUGAACUAUGCGUGAAUAGGGUGAAGCCAGAGGAAACUCUGGUGGAGGCUCGCAGCGGUUCUGACGUGCAAAUCGAUCGCAGAAUUUGCGCAUA
rnacentral:rRNA from 1 species